UACGAAGGGGGCUAGCGUUGUUCGGAUUUACUGGGCGUAAAGCGCACGUAGGCGGAUCGAUCAGUCAGGGGUGAAAUCCCAGGGCUCAACCCUGGAACUGCCUUUGAUACUGUCGAUCUGGAGUAUGGAAGAGGUGAGUGGGAUUCCGAGUGUAGAGGUGAAAUUCGUAGAUAUUCGGAGGAACACCAGUGGCGAAGGCGGCUCACUGGUCCAUUACUGACGCUGAGGUGCGAAAGCGUGGGGAGCAAACAGG
rnacentral:rRNA from 1 species